rfam:Otolemur garnettii contig126870, whole genome shotgun sequence.
GUGCUUACUUCAGCACAAAGAAUAAAAAUGGAACAAUACAGAGAAGGUUAGCAUCUCCCCUAUGCAAGCAAGAAUGAUAUCCAAAUUCAUGAAGUGUUUGAUGGUUUU